rnacentral:rRNA from 1 species
CUGCCUGCCCUGUGACUAUAGGUUCAACGGCCGCAGUAUUUUAACUGUGCGAAGGUAGCGCAAUCACUUGUCUUUUAAAUGAAGACCUGUAUGAAUGGUAAGACGAGGGCUUGACUGUCUCCUUUUCCCGGUCAAUGAAAUUGAUUUCCCCGUGCAGAAGCGGGGAUUAACACAUAAGACGAGAAGACCCUGUGGAGCUUCUAGAUAUACAAUAAUUUAUGUCAAUUAACUUAAAUAAAAGGAUAAACUAAAUAAGCUCUUUUUGAAUAUCUUUGGUUGGGGCGACCAUGGGGAAAUAAAUAACCCCCGUGAGGAGGAAACUAAUUUCUUAAAGCCAAGAGCCGCAGCUCGAAGCAUCAGGAUAUCUGACCUAAAUGAUCCGGUAGAACCGAUCAACGAAACAAGUUACCCCAGGGAUAACAGCGCAAUCCUCUCCAAGAGUUCUUAUCAACGAGGGGGUUUACGACCUCGAUGUUGGAUCAGGACAUCCUAAUGGUGCAGCCGCUAUUAAGGGUUCGUUU